GAUGAAGAACGUAGCGAAAUGCGAUAAGUAGUGUGAAUUGCAGAAUUCAGUGAAUCAUCGAAUCUUUGAACGCACAUUGCGCCCCUUGGUAUUCCAUGGGGCAUGCCUGUUCGAGCGUCAUUUGUACCUUCAAGCUUUGCUUGGUGUUGGGUGUUUGUCUCGCCUUUGCGUGUAGACUCGCCUUAAAAUAAUUGGCAGCCGGCGUUUGAUUUCGGAGCGCAGUACAUCUCGCGCUUUGCACUCAUAACGACAGCGUCCAAAAGUACAUUUUACACUCUUGACCUCGGAUCAGGUAGGGAUACCCGCUGAACUUAAGCAUAUCAAUAGCGGAGGA
rnacentral:misc_RNA from 1 species